rnacentral:rRNA from 1 species
GACAGAGGGUGCAAACGUUGCUCGGAAUCACUGGCGUAAAGGGCGUGUAGGCGGGAUGGUAAGUCGGGCGUGAAAUCCCUGGGCUCAACCCCAGGAACUGCACUCGAAACUACUGUCCUUGAGUGCCGGAGAGGAAAGCGGAAUACCUGGUGUAGAGGUGAAAUUCGUAGAUAUCAGGUGGAACACCAGUGGCGAAGGCGGCUUUCUGGACGGUAACUGACGCUGAGACGCGAAAGCGUGGGGAGCAAACAGG